UGAUAACGAUUGCGUGGAGACUAAUAUUGGCGUAAUUUUGAGGGAAUCCUUUGCAGCUCUGAUCGUUUGUUUACGCUGAUUUCUGACAAGGAGUCGCAAUUUGGAGCCCUAGUCUGUGCAUAAUGGGUGCUUGUAAUGAAUGCUUGUUUGGAGCCCGGGAGGAUUACGAAGAUGUCGAUCCGGAAACCAAACGUAGGCAACAAGCAGAAGCAGCUGAAAAAAGACUAACCCAGCAAGAGGGCCGAGGAUUGAAGGACCCAGAGGGAGUGAAGAGAAAACUACAGCAGAAAGAAGACGCUGAGAGGAAAGCAGCCAAAGUAGACGACACAAGUGGUCAAGGAGGAUUAAAGUGGCAAGUUUCCUCGUAACAGCACUUCAACCUACUUCUACAGUUGGGCAAAGCUAGUCACAGAAUAAACUGCAAAUACAAGCUGGCAGGGGACUCAUUGCAAGAACCAACAGCGCAGCGAGUUACUGGACCAUACAGGUACAGCUGACCUGAGGUGGCGCUAGAGGGGAUUGUGCGGUAGCGCUUCUAGUACAUGCAGUGUGACUUCAAGGCAAAUGUAUUGAAUUGAUAUAUUGAUGGUACGGUGUGUAUUGGCAUGUUGAUAGCUAUGACAGUGAUACUUGUAGCCUGUAGAUAUACUUUUAAUUUGAUUUUUAUGAAUUUCUUUGGUAUCUACUACUGUUGGGUCAAGCAUACUCACACUGAUUUGACAAUUAAUUUUUUCAUUCAGUUUGUUUCUUCAUGAUCUUUGGGUGUUCCUGCCUUGGUAGACGAGUAUCUUUAUCUUAAUACUUAUCCAUGUAAGUCAUUGCUGGAUUACCUCUGUUGUGUUUGUCCCAUGACGGCUUCCAGAUGAGCAUUUGUGAAGUCAUUUGAUUUCCUCUUGCUCCUCUUGCAAUGACCGCUGAAACCCAAACGGAGUAUCAAAAUAAGUUGAUUUUUCAGUUAGAAUUCAUAAUUAGAGUGUUACAAUUCAUUCACUCAAACUCUGCAAUCUUGCAAUUCGUGUGUAUAUCCAGUUCAUGUAUUUCAUAGUAUUUAUUGUAUUCUAAUAUUUAAGUAGUAAAAUCUUGUUUAAUAUUAGGAAUGCUGUAUUCUGGUGUUUUUUUAGUUCUGAGAUUACAUUGUUUCAAUAAAGUAAAAUCACAUCAUUAGAAUUUACAUGUAGUAAUACACCUUUUCACAGUUAAGGCCACCAUUUCAAUUUGCAAGUAUUAAAAGCACGGUCAUCAAUGUUUUCAGACGCGCAUGUAUUGUUGCGUCACUGCCUGCGCUGACAUCGUAUCAACACUUUAAUUGCAUGCUGCAUACGACAAAAGUUACUCGCAAUAUUUACUCGCAAUUACGAAUGGCGCCCAUGUCGGCGCAUGUGCACUCUGGUAACCGCGAAAGGGUGUAUUCAUAAUCCGCUUUGCAUUUCUGUAUUUGAUUUCACACAGAAAAAUUGGGCAUGUGUACAUGUAAAGCAUUUCUUACGUGCAGCUACUUUUAACUAAUCCUUUAAUACUUGGUAUUUAUUUACAUGCUGUAGUAUAUUGAAUGUUAGAUUGUUUAGUGUAAAUGUAAUACACUUUUGGACUUGGGGGGGGGGCAUUUCACAAAACUUGUGCAGUAACAAAUGACAAUUUUUGUUAUAAGCCACUGAAAUCCUUGCUUCUGACUGGUUAUCAGCAGAUUUGUCACUGCUUUUGUUAUUUGUCAUUGAAAAAGAGGCUUUGUGAAACGCCACCCCAGGUCCUGUCCCAUCAUUUUGCUUUCUAAUGCUUGGUCUUCUCCCUCUAACUUAUCAUAACAUCCGAUAGUGGACAUUCCACAACUGUUAUUCAUUGAUGCAGAUUCUUGGUAUUGACUAUCCUUCAUAUGUUGGAGAAAAAAAAUUGCUCACUACCCCCCCCCCCCCCCCCCCCCCCCUUUCCUUGGUCCUAGAUAAAGCACAUUGUUUUUACCAGGUUCCACUGUAUUUCAGGAGAGUGUAUUCAUGCUUCUAUUGUACAUUGAUUUCUAUUUGAUUGUAUUAUAAUUCUUCUGAGAUUCAAAUAUAUCUUUCCAAAUUAUUUAUUGUAGGUGACUGAGAAUGCUCAGAAUGUUAAAUACCGUGUUUUGGCCAUUAAAGAUAAAGUUGAGUUCUAAUACAAUUGCAUUGUGAAAAAAACGGUGUGGAAUCGAUCAGAAAAGAUUGAUCAUGUAGCAUGUAAGUAUUGAAGUGUACUGCAAGCCAGUUUUGUAGUCAUCAAAAUAAUAAGAAAUUUGGCCCAGUCCUGGUAAAGUAACAAGCAGUACUGGACAUAGAAAGAUGUUUAUGGUACUAUACGAACAUGUGGCAU
rnacentral:lncRNA from 15 species